GAUGAACGCUAGCGGCAGGCCUAACACAUGCAAGUCGAGGGAGAAGCCCUUUCGGGGGCAGAAACCGGCGCACGGGUGCGUAACGCGUAUGCAACCUUCCUUUCACAGGGGGAUAGCCCGAAGAAAUUUGGAUUAAUACCCCAUAAUAUUAUUGGAUGGCAUCAUUUGAUAAUUAAAACUGCGGUGGUGAAAGAUGGGCAUGCGUCCUAUUAGCUAGUUGGAGUGGUAACGGCACCCCAAGGCUACGAUAGGUAGGGGUCCUGAGAGGGAGAUCCCCCACACUGGUACUGAGACAGGGACCAGACUCCUACGGGAGGCAGCAGUGAGGAAUAUUGGUCAAUGGUCGGAAGACUGAACCAGCCAUGCCGCGUGCAGGAAGAAUGCCUUAUGGGUUGUAAACUGCUUUUAUAUGGGAAGAAUAAGGCGUACGUGUACGUUGAUGACGGUACCAUAUGAAUAAGCAUCGGCUAACUCCGUG
rnacentral:rRNA from 1 species